rnacentral:rRNA from 1 species
GAGGGAUAUUGGUCAAUGGGUGCAAGCCUGAACCAGCCAUCCCGCGUGAAGGACGACUGCCCUAUGGGUUGUAAACUUCUUUUGUAUAGGGAUAAACCUACCCUCGUGAGGGUAGCUGAAGGUACUAUACGAAUAAGCACCGGCUAACUCCGUGCCAGCAGCCGCGGUAAUACGGAGGGUGCAAGCGUUAUCCGGAUUUAUUGGGUUUAAAGGGUCCGUAGGCGGACUUAUAAGUCAGUGGUGAAAGCCUGUCGCUUAACGAUAGAACUGCCAUUGAUACUGUAAGUCUUGAGUAUAUUUGAGGUAGCUGGAAUAAGUAGUGUAGCGGUGAAAUGCAUAGAUAUUACUUAGAACACCAAUUGCGAAGGCAGGUUACCAAGAUAUAACUGACGCUGAGGGACGAAAGCGUGGGGAGCGAACA